rnacentral:rRNA from 1 species
GAAAGGCCAAUCAAACCGGGAGAUAGCUGGUUCUCCCCGAAAGCUAUUUAGGUAGCGCCUCGUGAAUUCAUCUCCGGGGGUAGAGCACUGUUUCGGCAAGGGGGUCAUCCCGACUUACCAACCCGAUGCAAACUGCGAAUACCGGAGAAUGUUAUCACGGGAGACACACGGCGGGUGCUAACGUCCGUCGUGAAGAGGGAAAAAACCCAGACCGCCAGCUAAGGUCCCAAAGUCAUGGUUAAGUGGGAAACGAUGUGGGAAGGCCCAGACAGCCAGGAUGUUGGCUUAGAAGCAGCCAUCAUUUAAAGAAAGCGUAAUAGCUCACUGGUCGAGUCGGCCUGCGCGGAAGAUGUAACGGGGCUAAACCAUGCACCGAAGCUGCG